CUCAAAAUUCAGAAAGUUGAGUGAAAAAUCACGUGUAAGAAUCAAUCCAUGUUUAACGCCCCAUCCAACUGUCCAGAAUCACUCAUUUCGUCUGUUAUCAAAACCAUUAAUCCGUCUGUUAUCAAAACCAUGAGUACCAGCAGCAAUUUAAUUCAUUCUGCGGCCUGAUAAUUGAGUUGUUUCCAAUAAUAUUCUCCCCUCCUAUGAUCUUCUUCAGAUACGAAUCAUACAUUGAUCUCCUCUUCAGUUACGAAUACAAAAAGAUUUUCUUUAAAGACUCAAUAAUAACUUCAAACGUUACAUGCAACAUCAUUCUUUCAAAAAUGUUCCUAUGUAUAAACCCUAGACGAGGUGAUCAUCUUUCCCAGUUUCAGUCGCAUUCUCUUUCAGCACUACUAGAUUUUGAUUGUUGGAUUCAGAAAAUCACCAGAGUUCGAAACAUCUUAGUUCAUACUCCCAUCACUUUUUUUCAAAUGGGUUCCCAGACUGUCAACAACCCUUCUAAAAUUCCCGCAUCCACCUACAAAACUUUCUCCCAUAUUGGCAAGGCCGAAGAAGGCACCAAAUGGAUGACUCGCGUUCGAAUCUCACGGAAGUGGAAUGAAUUAGAUUUCAUGGGUACCUACGAGGUCACCAGCCUGGAUGUCUUCAUGCUUGAUGACAAUCUUUACCAGAUUAUUAAUUGGGAUCAACACUGAUUCUAACAAGGUACCUUCCCUGAAAUGGAUCACCUACCACAAUAUGAGCUGAGAGUUGCAAAACUUUCCAAUGUGAGAUCUGCAGUUUAUCAGUUGCUCCUGCUGAUUUCGCCCUUCGAAGUCGUAUUUAUUCAAGCUUACAACAGACACAUUGAGCCUCUAUGACAACUUUCAAAUAAAGGAGGUCUUGGCCACAGUGAUGUGAAGACAUCGAGUCUCUAUGAUUGAUGUUGAAAGAGAUGAAAAGAGGAUUUGCAACCGAGAGCAGCAUGCACAACAAGAAUAUAGUCCUCAGCAUCGAGUAUCUGAAGAUUGUAGUUUGUGUUAACUAUCUAGGAUUCCUGCUCUGACAAUUCUCCUAAGAGAUCGUGGGCAGUUAUUGAAUGCUCAAAGGCUUCAACUUCGUCACCCUGAUUCCUUGCUUGAAGCUUUCCUUUAGAAUCCAGUUCCUGCUUUGGACUUUGUGGUAAGUCAGUAAGGUAAGUACAAUUCUGAAUUUUGCGAAAUUUUAUGUUUCUUAUUUUUUGGUUUCUUUCAGAUGCAUAUUUUUUGUGUAGCUCCAUCCAAGGUACUGAAAUCGUUGUUUGUUGUUGUAAUGUUUCCAGCAAUCCAUAGGUUUUUUUUUAAUAUUACACCAGAAGAUAUGGGAAUAAUAUGUACUUGGAGUAUGUUGAGCUCAUUGUGAACUGUAUAAUUUUGUCAACCCACCUGUUGGCAAAACUACAAUCUCAUUUGUGUUAAUCAGUCCAACUACCACCAAAUAUAGUUGUCCCCAAUGCUUCCAUGUUACUUUCUCCUCUGAACUAGCUUAAACAUUUGAAUUGUCCGCUAGCGACCAAGAGUCCCUCAAUUGCAGUCGAUAUAAGCGAUCGGAUUAUGUACUUCGCUUACGAAAGGAAGAGAUGGGUAUAUUGUAAAUGAUACAGCCCAAAGUCAAUACCGGAAUUUUCAUUAGAAAAUAGCCAAGCGACCUCUGGUGACAUUUUUGAUUAGAACUCAUAGGGUGAUUUGCAUGGUUAUAAUCAGAGACCAUAAAAUUUCUUCAGGGAUGAGCUUAAACAGAAAUACCCACUAGCUGUUUAGUCUUAAUAACCCACUUAGAGAAAACAAAACUCAAUGAAUCUGUGUUGGUACAGAAUAUAGCACUUAGUGUUAUUAGAUAUGUUUUGCUAUAAACUAAAUCUUAUUGAUCGGUUACAUGGAUAGCUCAAAGUGAUAUGCAACAUUUAUAAUAAUUUAUAUAAUGAAUAUGAAUAGAUUAUGUAUCUUUCUACAGUUCAAAGUAAUAUGAUCCAAGUGUGUAGCUUUUUUCGUUUUCGCAGUUCGUUAUAUUGUUAAAUAUUCUAUUUGUCCAGUUACUACAGUAUGAAAGUGCUUGGCCAUGAUUUUCUAUAAAUUUUUCUCUCUUUAGCUUAUAUUACUUGAGUUAGGUGACCAAUUUGAUAAUUAUGCCUAUGAUUUUGAUCCUUUUUUUCUUUUUAGUUCUGCUUUCUGUUGUUCGCAGGAUUGCAUUUUUAAGCCUGUCUUCCUAGAUAUUCUGAAGCAUUUUUGUGAUUUGCUAUUAACAACUCAUUUUAAUGUUUUUUAUUUUAUUUUGUGUGGUACUCAUUUUUAUGCUAAUACUAAUUUAGUUGUGUUAGUUACUAAGUUUAAUUGCAGCUAACUCAAAUGGUUCAAGUUAAAGUUGGAUUCAUUCACGAUACUCUACUAUUUCAAAUGAAUAGAGCAUAGAUAUGAAUAAAAUUCAGGAUACCGGUUGUCGAGUUAGUAUGAUGAGGGGCAAAAAUUUGAUGCUACUCCCCGUGGAGUAGCCUUUCUGCUCCUAUUACUAUGACACUUCUCUCUGAAAGAAAAUGAAGAACUUAAAAGUCAUCCUAAUAUUUCUUAUGGAACACAUUGCAGUGAAGAAUGCUUCAGCCGUCCUCCUUAUGGAUCAGUACCAUGUAAUUAGUGUUCUGUAUAGGCUAUCUACUGCAGGCUUUCCUUGCCUUUUCAUAUUGGGAAUCUAUUGUAUAUGCAUGUUGUAUAUUAUGUAGAUUUUUCUUCAUAAAGUUCUUUAGUUACAGUUGUAACUGCAGGCUUUCCUUACUGUAUCGUGGUAAUCAUUUAGAUCGUUCUGCCGCUCGUCAUUCCAACUGCAAUAACUCGGUAAAAACCAUUGGCGCUACAGGUAAGUUGAUUACAGUACGACAUUUUUUAUACUAGGGAACCUACUCUUUUUUUCUCGCUAUAGUAGCAAAUUUUUGGUCUGCACAAUUUUUGACCUUUUUUGGCAAUCAAAGUGCUAAGUUCACGGUUGAAGAUAAAGCGCAUCUGUGUACUUCUUUUUUUUUGCUAGGUUUUUUUUUUUGUGUACAAUUGUACAUGAAAACAUAUCGAUGUAAUCCUUGCACUAUCGCCCUAUACACUGAUUUCUGUAAAAAUUUAUUUAAAUUUUCUUCGUAUUUUAUAGUGUGAAGGUAAUAUGCACAAUAUGCACACCGGUUAUAAUAUUUCAGAACCACCAGAAUAAUUUGCAAAUUUGAUUAAAUAAUCCUGGGAUCAAAAGAGUAAGACCCAUAAUUUUCAGGGUCAUAAAAAUAAAUUUCUCAAUAAAAUUUUGUCUACAAUAUGUUCAGUUUGUACCUAGAAUGACAAGAGGUGCGAAUUAUAGGUGCCUCUAUUUCACGCAACGAACGAAACCCAAAUAUUUCCAUUUCUCAUAAAAUAUAGAAUCCCGGGAUAAAGAUGUUAUCCCACUCAAGCCCUCUCAUUCAUACCCAGCAAUCAAUUUUUCAUCGUACGCUUACAAAUGUUGGCCUACAUAAACCCUAACAGAGGUCAUCAUCCUCCCAUGUUUCCUACGCCUCCUCUCUCAAGAACACUAGUAUUCCAUUGUUGUAAGGUGAAAAAAGGUGCCAUCCAUCUCCCAUCCAUCUCAGUGAUCAUCUGUAGAAAAUGGGUUCCCAGAUUAGAGCCAGCAGUUCCAAACUCCCCGUAACAGCUGCAUACAAAGCUUUCUCGCAGAUAGGCGAGGCUGAAGAAGGAAAACCUUGGACCACACGCAUUAUAAAUUUAUCAUCAUUAAGAAGUGGAAUGAAUUGGAUUUCAUGAAGACCAACAAGGUCACAAGCCUGGAUAAUUCUAGAUGACAAUCAAUCAGGGUGAUGAACUUAAUGGGGUGGUUCCCAAGUAGCUAAUCUGGAACUUCGAUCCGUUACUUCAUGUUGAAAGAAUAUAUUCCCUAAGGAAGUUCACUAUUCUGGGAGAGAAAAAGAUAUUUCGCCCGGCUCACAAUGAACACCGCAUAUUCAUCAACUGGGAUGCAGAGGUGACUUAUCUAUGUGGCACUCAAUUUGAAAUUUCUCAUCACAAGUUCAGUUUUAUCCCUUUCAAAUAUCUGGAUUCACGUUCGGCUGACACUUGAUGUCGUGGGUGUGUUGAUAAGCCUCACAAAUUUUCAACACAUGAAGAGAGCCAACGGUCAGCCCUGUAUGAUGCACAACUGUACGCCUGUUGUAGGUAUACGAAAAACCUUCAAAUUCAGUGUCCUGUUGGCCAGGCCUGUCAAGUGCGUGAGCUCAAAGUUGAGAACCCUGGGUAUAAGUUCUUCUCCAUCACUGUCUGUUUCACCACAUCUGCACGUUGCACACAUGCAGUCACUAUACAAUGAAUUCAUGUGUUAGAAGUACCAAAUUGAGGAUUUUGAUGUGGAGUUCUUCUACAGAUCCUGUCGGCAAUUAUCCAAUUAGUACAGACUCCAACCAGUGCUGGUAGUGAUUGUUGUUUGCUCCACUUCUGUGAAGACCUUUCAAGGUAACUCACUUUCUCUUUUAAAUUAUGGUUAGAGAUUUCAUUGUAUAAGUUUUUAUACGAACCAUGUGGUGUUCGCUUCUAAUGUAACAAGUACAAUUGGAUAUAUGCUCACGAAAUACUAAAGAUGGCGGCUUAGCGCGUUUGAUUCCUUUAACCAAUUUGUCUAUGCCAUCUAUCAUCUCGGAUCACUAAUCUUUUCCUCAUAUUUGUGAACCAACUUGCUGAUGGAUUAAACGCACUUUUUGACUGCAUCGUAUAUUCCUAUGUUAACCAAUUUGUCCAAUUAUGUAACCUAUCUUGCCUAUCGGGGGAAGUAGAUACUCCUCGAGGAAGUUGCUAUACUUUUAAGUUGUUGUAGUUUUGUA